rnacentral:rRNA from 1 species
CCGUAACACAUGCAAGUCGAGGGGCAGCGGAGUUGAAGCUUGCUUCAACUGUCGGCGACCGGCGCACGGGUGAGUAACACGUAUCCAACUUCCGUUUACUCAGGGAUAGCUUUCGAAAGAAAGAUUAAUACCUGAUAGUAUGGUGAGAUUGCAUGAUAGCACCAUUAAAGAUUUAUCGGUAAACGAUGGGGAUGCGUUCCAUUAGCUUGUUGGCGGGGUAACGGCCCACCAAGGCAACGAUGGAUAGGGGUUCUGAGAGGAAGGUCCCCCACAUUGGAACUGAGACACGGUCCAAACUCCUACGGGAGGCAGCAGUGAGGAAUAUUGGUCAAUGGGCGAGAGCCUGAACCAGCCAAGUAGCGUGAAGGAUGAAGGUUCUAUGGAUUGUAAACUUCUUUUAUACGGGAAUAAAACCUCCCACGUGUGGGAGCUUGUAUGUACCGUAUGAAUAAGCAUCGGCUAACUCCGUGCCAGCAGCCGCGGUAAUACGGAGGAUGCGAGCGUUAUCCGGAUUUAUUGGGUUUAAAGGGAGCGCAGACGGGAUGUUAAGU